UACGGAGGGUGCAAGCGUUAUCCGGAUUCACUGGGUUUAAAGCGUGCGCAGGCGGUUCGUUGUGUCGGUGGUGAAAUCCCCGGGCUUAACCUGGGAAUGGCCAUGGAAACUGGCGAACUGGAGUGUGGCAGAGGGGGGUGGAAUUCCGCGUGUAGCAGUGAAAUGCGUAGAGAUGCGGAGGAACACCGAUGGCGAAGGCAGCCCCCUGGGCUAGCACUGACGCUCAGGCACGAAAGCGUGGGGAGCAAACAGG
rnacentral:rRNA from 1 species